rnacentral:rRNA from 1 species
AACGAACGCUGGCGGCAGGCCUAACACAUGCAAGUCGAGCGCCCCGCAAGGGGAGCGGCGGACGGGUGAGUAACACGUGGGAAUUUUCCUCAAGGUACGGAACAACUCAGGGAAACUUGGGCUAAUACCGUAUGAUGCAGAGAUGCCAAAGAUUUAUCGCCUUGGGAUAAGCCCGCGUCAGAUUAGGUAGUUGGUGGGGUAACGGCCUACCAAGCCUGCGAUCUGUAGCUGGUCUGAGAGGACGAUCAGCCACACUGGGACUGAGACACGGCCCAGACUCCUACGGGAGGCAGCAGUGGGGAAUCUUGCGCAAUGGGCGAAAGCCUGACGCAGCCAUGCCGCGUGAAUGAUGAAGGUCUUAGGAUUGUAAAGUUCUUUCGCUCGUGACGAUGAUGAUGGUAACGAGAGAAGAAGCCCCGGCUAACUUCGUGCCAGCCGCCGCGGUAACAC